rnacentral:ncRNA from 1 species
CUCUGUUUCCAAGAUGGAUCAGGGCUAUAAGGAG